CUCAACACUGGAGGCUACAGUCUCUUUGUUGGAGCUAAUGGUGGACUCCAGGAGGGCUCAUGUCAAGGAGUACUUCCCAGAACUUCUGCUGCCAGUGUCCUUAUCCCUGCGGUGAGCCACAGCCACCCCCUACCUCUUCAGGAGACCCUCGAACACUAGCAGGUAUGUCGGUCUGUCCUCAGAUGCACCUCGUUUUCUGUUCCACCUCUCUGUGUGGCACUACAUAUGGGACUCUUGACAGCACUGCCUUCUCCCCCUUUGUGUGAAAGAUGGAUGCCAGUCAAUUAAUUUACCUCAGAUGUUGGAGCCCAGCUUGUACCAGCAUAUGUACUCCACUUGGAAAAUACAAGAUUUUUUAGAAAAUAAUAUACCAAUUAGAAGGAAAAAGAGAAGUAAGGCAAGAAAUUUCUCUUUUGCCUUCAUAGCAUCCAAGUGAAUGUUCAGCCAAACUAUAAACAUUUUUACCACAGAA